rfam:Triticum aestivum genome assembly, contig: Triticum_aestivum_CS42_TGACv1_scaffold_579031_7BL
AUCAUAAUCCCUCCGUUCGAAAAUACUUGUCUAAAAAGGAAUAAAACCGGAUAUAUCUAGAUGUAUUUCAGUUCUAGAUGCAUCCCUUUUCAUCCAUUUUGAUGAUAAAUAUUUUCGGAUGGAGGGAGUACUGG